CUUGCUAUUGGGCAAAAUCCCGUCUGCUACCUGGUAUUCAUGUAGAGUAAACUGCAAUGUGGAAACAGAUGGUAUGACCAAGUGGGAGAGAGACUCUGUCUGCAAAACUGGGAGAGCUUCACUCUGGCUGGGGGUGGAAGAGGAAUGAACAAGUCCACCCCAGUGUGAAAAUAAGAUGAAAAUAUAAAAGAAUGUCAGCGUUGAAGGUUACUGCUUUUGAUUUUGACAGUAUCCCAGAACCGUGUGGGCACAUGAACAUUCCAAAGAAGAUACUUCCAGGUUCUUCACAUGGUAUGUCCUGCUAUGAGUGUGGGCACUACUGUAACCAAUGGGUUGCCAGCCUGAGGUUGGAGCAGCACAUAGAACUGAGCAGAAUCAGAGUCUGAUGCAGAACAGGCUUGCUGGCUUGAUUUCAACUCCUGUUUUGACCUCAUCUAAACCUCCAGAAGAUGUCCUUAUCUUCACUUCUCCAGUUCCAUCGAGGGUUGGAAAAAUAUCCUGUAAGCCAAAUCUUCGAGACCACCUGCCCUGAGCAAAUGUCGAGCUGACAUAUGAGAAUCGAACCUGAGCAGAGGUAGCCAUUACUAUGGCAACUCCCUCUGAUUCAUGUUUGGCUGUAACCCCAGGCACGUUGCUUUCACCUAAAAUUCUCCUCUAAAAACAAAAGUUGAAGCCAUGGUGAUGGAGAGAGUGGUGGCUGCCAAGACAGUGAGGGAGGGCUUUGCUCCUAUCCUUUAUCAUCCCUCAGCAAAUACAUGACCCAGGUCAGUGUCACCUGCCAUCCCUACUCAACUAAAGGGUACAGCCAAUUUAGGAAACAUGCAGAGUAACUCUCCAACACACUGGGAUGCAAUUCCUGCCAUUAUAUCUGUUUUGAGUUUGCUUUCGGUUGAUUCUCUUUUUUAAUCCUUUUUUGCUUUCUUCGUAUCUCCUCUUUCUCCCUACCUUCUCUCCUUUCUUUAUUUUUAUACAUUUUCAUUUCUUUCUUACAGUGGAGCUCACUUUUAGUGGAACAAGAUUUUAAGAUGUAUUAACUAACGGUUUAUAAAAUUGAUAGUCUAUUCACUUUUGAGCUCCUAUUUAAGUCUCAGAAACAUACAAAAUAAAACACUAUAUUUUGUUAGAGUGGAAAAUUGGUUUAUUUUGGAGGUAUUUUAGAUUGCAUGUUAUCAUAGAAAAUUAAAAAUUGAUUUAAAAACAAAUUAUUUACCUUAUAGAUUUUAACAAACUUAAAUAUAAACAUGUCUCUAGAUAAGUGUAUCUCUCUUGGCUAAAACUAUAAUAUAUAAUACCAGUGAGAGAAAGUUUGUAUUAAAAAUAGGCAUUAUACAUGUUCUUGUUAAAUCUUCAACACAUCAAAAUUAUUAUUUUUUUUCCAACGAUAAAUAAGUAGUUAGAUGUUUUCAGGAUUGGAGGUUUGAAAAAUACUGUGCCAAAGCUUGUUCCAAUUAACACUCUCAGCUCCUGUUACAUUUCAUGGAAGUUAAAAUGUGAAAAUUGAAAGACAGAAUAUAUCCAUAGAGCAUUCUUACAAAGAGUAAAAGUGCCAAAGAAGAAAUCAGCUCUGCUAUUUUUGAUUGUUAAAAAUAUAUUAGGCAGAUUUGUUAUUCCCCAUCACCAAGGCACCUGACUACAUUCAAAAUGCUUAAUGAAAAGAUGAGUCUGUGUUAUAUUAACAAAAGAAUUGUGUACAAGCAUGUACUGUGGAAGAGAUAAACAAAUUACUUUCAGAAAGUGCUAUGUCAAAGAGAUUAAUUCUGGCACAGAUGUACAUGUUGGCACUAGCUAUAACACAAGUAUUGUAUAAUUCUUUCAAAAUUGUUAUCAUUCUAUCAAAUAAAUAAAUGUCGUUUUUAAAAGGCUACAUAUUUUGAAUAAGACUUUGAAUGUUUCUAGCAUAAAGAAAUGACAAUCAUUUAAGGUGAUAGAUAUCCAGAUUGCAUUGAUUUGAUGUUUACAAAUUAUAUGAAUAUGUUAAGUUAUUGCAUGCACCUCAAAAAUAUGUAUGUCUAUUAUAUUUCAAUAAAAAAUGAUGCUAAUAAAUAAUGGAAACAAAGGGUGCAUUUAUUUAUUUGGCCAUUUAUUUUUAAAUUCAUAGGUUAAUGUGCAUUUAUAUAGUAGGUGGUACCACUGUCUUACUGUUUUUAUGGGCCAAAAUUGACAAUAAUCAGCAAUUCAGAUGUUUCAACUUAAUAAAAGGUCUAUUAUCAAGUAACAUUAAAGUUGAUUAAUUGUCCAAUUAACAUAGAUGACAUAGGAAAACCUUAGAAAUCUAAACUGCAAAAUAAUGAGGCUUGAGUUACAAUAUUAAAUGGGUUCCAACAUAGAAUUAAAUCUUAUACUCUAGUUACAAAUUCUUUUAUUAGCUAUUAUCUACCUGUGGCUUUUUUUUUUUUUUUUUUUUUUUUGCCUCAUUCGAUCAAUUUCAUUUGUGGCUAAAAACAUUUAUAGGUAUCCGUAUGAUAUCAUGAACCUAAUAUUAGC
ensembl:lincRNA